GGGGGGAAGCACUGACUGAUCUUCCAGAUGUCCUGAGUUCAAUUCCCAGCAACCACAGGGUGGCUAACAACCAUCUGUAAUGGGAUCUGAUGCCCUCUUCUGGUGUGUCUGAGAACAACUACAGUGUACUCAUAUAAAUAAAAUUUUUAAAAAAUCUUGAAGACAGAGAACUUACUAGAGGACAUGACAAGAUGAUAGAUUUGAUUUCAGAGAAACUAGGGCCACUUUGGGACAGAAUAGUACAGACUCAAAAGACGGUCGAGCUUAGAUCAGGAGCAGCAGGAGCCAGGCUUAUGGGAGUGGCCAGAAUAUGGCCUCAGACCUCACUGGUUCCUCACCUCCAUUUCAGGAGUUCUUGCACUAAUACUGUUUGUUUUUCUUUAUCAAAAUGAAGUCCUUCAUCUCCUUGCCUUGGGGCAUUUGUAUAUUCAGAAGAACCCUUUUGGCUCCUCCUGUUUCUCUGAAUGUAUCCCCAUAAGGCCACCAGCAGCCAUCCUCACACCCAACUUUUUUUUUUUUUUCCGGAGCUGGGGACCGAACCCAGGGCCUUGCACUUGCUAGGCAAGCGCUCUACCACUGAGCUAAAUCCCCAACCCCCACACCCAACUUCCAAGUAAUGGACCAUCCAAUUCAUUGAGCAUUUGGCCAUGGCUGCUGUAUGGUGAUCUCUGGGCGCAUGGCCUGGUUCUGUACCAGUUAAUAAAGACUUAGUAUUUAAUCAGCCUUAGCUGAUUCUGCUGUGUGAGGCCUUGGGGUUACAGUAAGGAGCAAAGGAGACACAGAGGCCUUGUAUCUUGUAGCAGUAGAACUUGCAGUCCUACUGACAUAGAAGAGACAAGUGUGAGGAAGGAGUCCAAUCUGCUGAGGAAACAAAGGGCAGAAGGAAGCACCACCUGCCUGCAGUGUCUGAAAAGCCCACAAGAGGGCACUAGAUCCCCUAGACCUGGAGUUACAGACAGUUGUGAGGCCCCAUGUGGGUGCUAGAACUUGAUCCUGGGUCCUCUGGAAGAGCAGUCAGUGAUGUUAACAGUGAGCCUUCUCUCUAGCCCAAGACAGAUUUUCUUUUUCCUUUUUUUUUUUUUUUAAGAUUUAUUUAUACCAGAAGAAGGCGUCAGAUCUCAUUACAGAUUGUUGUGAGCUACUGUGUGGUUGCUGGAAUUUGAACUCAGGACCUUGGGAAGAGCAGUCAGUACCCUUAACCACUGAGCCAUCUCUCCAGUGACUUUAUUUUCUUAACAAUUGUUUUUGUUGUUGUUUGAGGCAAGCUCUCCUUACAUAAGCUGGCCUUGAGCUCACAGAGAUCUCUAUGCCUCUACUCCACUGCUGUAGGAUUAAAGCAUACUCCACCACUCUCACUCUUAGACUCUUAAAGGAUGUCCUGAGCCAGGUGGCUGUGGUGCACGCCUUUAAUCCCCACAUUGGAAAGGCAGAGGCAGGCAGAUUUCUGUGAGUUUGCAGGCCAGCCUGGUCCUCCAGGACAGUCAGGGGUACACUAAGAAACUCUAUCUAGAAAAACCAAAUAAAUAAAUCAAUAGAAAAGGAUAAAUAAACUAAAGAAAUAAACAGAGUCCUGAAUCACUAGGCAGAGAGGCUGGUGAAAUGCUUGUCUGGUAAGUAUGAGGCCCUCAGUUCAAUUUCUAGAACUUUAGUGAAAAAAAGUCAGAUGGGGUGCCACAUGGAAACCCAGAGCUGGGAAGGUGAGAGCAGACAGGUCAAUGGUUCACUGGGUCGCUGGGUCACUGGCCAGCCAGACAAACAGGCAACUUGCACAUGAGAGACUCUCAAAAGAAAAGUAGGCAACAUCUGAGGAACCACAUUUGGUAUGAACUCCAUGCUCCACAUAUAUACAACAUAUCCGAGGCAGAAUACAAGAGUGUGUGUUUGAGCCAUAGAGAACUUGUAUGGCUGGAGCUGGGACGGAGCAGCCAGCAGAAGUGUUAGACCUGCCCUUGCCCUCACGGCCUGUGGUCUACAGUUCAUCAGUCCCUUACUCGUGGCAUUUUUUCUUUUUUUUUUUUUUUUUCUUUUUUCUUUUUUUCGGAGCUGGAGACCGAACCCAGGGCCUUGCGCUUGCUAGGCAAGCGCUCUACCACUGAGCUAAAUCCCCAACCCGGCAUUUUUUCUUAAAUGUCAAAUUUAUGCAAGAGCAAUUUAGAUGCCAGGUGACUGUGAUGAACACGCAAGUUAAGUGUCUUCAACUUGGGGACAGAGAUCACAAACAGGUAAAUCCACAAGCGAGGAGAUGAAGGCCUCUAGAGACUGUGGUUGUCUGUGAGAUGACAUUUGAGCUGAGGCCUGGAAAAUGAGAAAAUCAGCCUUGUGGAUUGAUAGAACACAAUUCCAGGCAGAGAGCAAGAAGUGCAAAGAAGACAGCCAUGGUGUCACCCAGCCCUCAGGAGGCAGAGCCAGGCAGAUCUCUGAGCUUAAGGCCAACCUGGUCUACAGAGCAAGUUCCAGGACAGCCAGGGCUACACAGAGAAACCCUGUCCCAAUAAAAACAAAGGCCAAAGACACUCUGAUACCACAUACUUGAGUUACAGAAGACAGAACUCUUGGCUGGACCAUUGGGAGUGAUUAGGGAGAAUGUGGUGAAAAGAGAGAGAAAAGUAUGUGUGUGUAUGUAUGUAUGUAUAUAUGUAUGUAUGUAGCCAUUUUGAGGCAGAAUCUUUUUUUUUUUUUUUCAGAGCUGGGGACCGAACCCAGGGCCUUGCACUUGCUAGGCAAGCGCUCUACCACUGAGCUAAAUCCCCAACCCUUGAGACAGAGUCUUAUGUAGUCCAGACUGGCUUCAAACUGACUGUGUAGCCAAGGAUGACCUUGAAUUCCUCGUCAUCAUACUGCCACCUCUCAAUAUUGGGAUUACAAGGAGAGGCUACUGGGCCAGUCUUCAAAAACAUGGUCUUUAUUUUUGCGGUGCCAGGGAUGGAACCCGUAGACUUGUGCACAUCAGGCGCUUGCACUCUGCCCCUGAACCACAUCCCCAAUCCCCGCAAUAAGGUCUGACUAGAGAAGUAAUCACAAUUCCUGGUUGGUUGUUUUGGAGACAAGUUCUCUCUGUGUACCCCAGGAUGGCCUAGAACAUGGAAUGCCUCAGUGCCAACCUCCAACCUUCCAGGUUGUCACACGAUGGGGGGAAAAAGAAACACACACUGAGUGUUGGGAUUUCAAAUACAUGUCACCACACCUAGGCUUUUUGUUUGGUUUUGUUGUUGUGUACAGUCAUUUUAGAGCAGUUAUUUAUUUAUGAGACAGGGUUUAUAGUAGCCCUAGAUGGCCUCAAACUUACUAUGUAGCUCAGGAUUUCCUGAAACUUGUAAUUCUCCUGCCUCAGCCGACCAAGUCCUGAGAUCUCACAACGAGCUUCUUUCCCCACAACCUUUCUUUCUUCCUUGCAACUAGGUCUGUCCAUAAUGCACAGGCUGGUUUUGAACUCCUGUACUCAAGUAACCGUUCUAAGAAGCUUCUAAGCAGUACCACAGGUCAAGAUAGCACCCAAAAGGACCAGAGAGAGGCUCACACCAGAACCAGACUCCUCCUUGUAAGAUACACCAGGCGCAAGGAAGGAGGCAGCGCCUUUUCACCACGAGCCCCAAUGGAAACCAGAAGCAGCACGGCCUCCUUGGGGCAUUCAGUCUUCCUCAGAGAGGAACUAACAAGGCCAUCUCAAGGUUCACCCUCCACACCUCAAUCAGGAGUAUUGAUGUGACUUACCCGAAGGGCCACACACAGCUGACUAGCAAUAAUAAGACAGGCCCAGAUCA